GCUGAAGCNGCUCCCCGUCANGGUCAGGAGGCGGCGGNGAGUCCCCGGCGGCGGGCGAGAGAUUCUCCCUCGGGAGGCUCCGCCCGCUCUGCCGCGGCUCGACGUCCACUCUGCACUUCUGCGGGGAGCCGGCCAACGGCAGUCGCUCCNGGCUCNUGAGGCGUCCGGGNGAGGUGGCCCCGCGCGAGAGCGCGGGGAGCGUACAGCCCCGGUGCCCGGCAGUCCGGGUCGGCGACUGAGGAGAGACGAUGCGGUGCUUNGCACGUGCGGCGCGGGCCCUUCCCCUCGCGGGUCGGGCUGGGCCGCUCACGCCGGGUCGGCGGCCGAGGUGGUCACUGCGAGUCAGUGGCCGUCUACGGUUUGCGUCGCCUCCGGCGGGAGGUCGGUCACACC
rnacentral:rRNA from 1 species